rnacentral:rRNA from 1 species
UACGUAGGGUGCGAGCGUUAAUCGGAAUUACUGGGCGUAAAGCGUGCGCAGGCGGCUUGCUAAGACAGGUGUGAAAGCCCCGAGCUUAACUUGGGAAUGGCGCUUGUGACUGCAAGGCUAGAGUAUGUCAGAGGGGGGUAGAAUUCCACGUGUAGCAGUGAAAUGCGUAGAGAUGUGGAGGAAUACCGAUGGCGAAGGCAGCCCCCUGGGACGUCACUGACGCUCAUGCACGAAAGCGUGGGGAGCAAACAGG